GAGGAGGUAGCUCAGGGGUAGAGCAUGUGGUUGCAAUUCGAGCGUUAAAAUUAUUUAGCGUUGCUGUAACGUAAUUCCCUCAGGGUCAGGUGUUCAAAUCACCUUCUCCUCU